GGUGGCUCAUUGGUAGAGUGCUUGCCUGGCAUGCAUGAGGCCCUGGGUUCAAUUCCUCAGCACCA
rnacentral:tRNA from 1 species